rnacentral:tRNA from 1 species
GGAUUAAAAAAAAAAUAUUUUUUACAAAAAUAUAAAACUCAAAUAUAAGAGUAUAAUCCA